AUUAACGCUGGCGGCGUGCAUGAGACAUGCAAGUCGAACGGACGGGCGAGCUUGCUCGCCCGUUAGUGGCGGACGGCUGAGUAACGCGUGGGUGACCUGCCCCGAAGUGGGGAGUAACUGCCCGAAAGGGUGGCUAAUACCGCAUGUGGUGACUGGUUCGUUCCAGUCUCCAAAGCCGCAAGGCGCUUCGGGAGGGGCCUGCGUCCGAUUAGCUCGUUGGUGGGGUAACGGCUCACCAAGGCGACGAUCGGUAGGUG
rnacentral:rRNA from 1 species